UGCCAGCCGCCGCGGUAAUACGGAGGGUGCAAGCGUUGUUCGGAUUUACUGGGCGUAAAGGGCGCGUAGGCGGUUUUCCAAGCCAAGGGUGAAAUCCUACAGCUUAACUGUAGAACUGCCUUUGAUACUGCAAAUCUUGAGUUCGGAAGGGAGAGGCGGAAUUCCAGGUGUAGUGGUGAAAUACGUAGAUAUCUGGAAGAACACCAGAGGCGAAGGCGGUCUCUUGGUCCGAAACUGACGCUGAGGCGCGAAAGCGUGGGGAGCAAACAGGAUUAGAUA
rnacentral:rRNA from 1 species